UACAGAGGGGGCAAGCGUUAUUCGGAAUUAUUGGGCGUAAAGGGCUCGUAGGCGGUUUGUCGCGUCGGGAGUGAAAACUCAGGGCUUAACCCUGAGCCUGCUUCCGAUACGGGCAGACUAGAGGUAUGCAGGGGAGAACGGAAUUCCUGGUGUAGCGGUGAAAUGCGCAGAUAUCAGGAGGAACACCGGUGGCGAAGGCGGUUCUCUGGGCAUUACCUGACGCUGAGGAGCGAAAGUGUGGGGAGCGAACAGG
rnacentral:rRNA from 1 species